CCUACGGGUUGCAGCAGUGGGGAAUAUUGCGCAAUGGGCGAAAGCCUGACGCAGCAACGCCGUGUGAGGGAUGAAGGCUUUCGGGUCGUAAACCUCUGUCAGAAGGGAAGAACGGGCAUUGGUCUAAUAGGCCUUUGUUUUGACGGUACCUUCAGAGGAAGCACCGGCUAACUCCGUGCCAGCAGCCGCGGUAAUACGGAGGGUGCAAGCGUUAUUCGGAAUUACUGGGCGUAAAGCGCGCGUAGGCGGCUUCGUAAGUCAGGGGUGAAAUCCCACGGCUCAACCGUGGAACUGCCUUUGA
rnacentral:rRNA from 1 species